rnacentral:rRNA from 1 species
AUUGAACGCUAGCGGGAUGCUUUACACAUGCAAGUCGAACGAAGGGCGGACGGGUGAGUAAUAUAUCGGAACGUGCCCAGUAGCGGGGGAUAACUACUCGAAAGAGUGGCUAAUACCGCAUACUAUUUGAGCGGCCGAGAUGGGAUUAGCUAGUUGGUGGGGUAAAGGCUCACAAAGGCAACGAUCCCUAGCUGGUUUGAGAGGACGACCAGCCAACCUGGGACUGAGACACGGCCCAGAAUCCUACGGGAGGCAGCAGUGGGGAAGUUUGGACAAUGGGGGAAAGCCUGAUCCAGCCAUCCCGCGUGUAUGAGAAGGCCUUCGGGUUGUAAAGUACUUUUGGCAGAGAAGCGGUAUCUGCAGAAUAAGCACCGGCUAACUACGUGCCAGCAGCCGCGGUAAUUC